AGAGAUAUCUGGUGACGUGGCAAGAGUUGCAGAUGAAUAGAAUACGGAUUCAAUAGAGUUUUUGAAAUCGCGUGGGAAUUUUUUGUACUUUUUCGGUUUUUUCUGUUAGAGAAUUGAGAUAAAAUAUUGUAAGGAA
rnacentral:sRNA from 1 species